CCUAUAAGUGAAGUGACGGACUGGAAAAAAGAGGAUUCUGGGAGAAGUAUCUAAUUCCAGCCCAAUAUCUAAACCAGAGUGUGAUAAUGAUAUCAGAAAGCUCCUCAGACAUAUAAAAGAGAAUCACUUGACCACCUGCAUAUUAUGUACUUACAAAAAGAUACCUUCCUUUUUAAAAGUCUCUUCACCCAUGCUGUUUUGGGUUGGGGAAUGGAAAACUUAUUUAACUCCGGCAUUAUCAUCCCCUGAAGAUCAAGGGUGUGCAAUAUCAAAGUCUAGCUGUGUGAUCUGAAGGUCCUCGUUUAAAACGAUGCUAUUAAUGCCUCUUGCUGUACUGAAACCAGGACAGUCCAACGCAAAGGUCACAGGAUCACAGUACCUGUGAUACAGCUUGUGGGCCUUUUUCUGUUUGCUCUUCCUCCAGAGUCUCUGUGCAUCAGCCCCUGCAUUAAUACACCAGGGAAAACCUUCUAGUGCCUGCAUGUGAUUGUGCCACAAUUUUCACUUCUGAGAAUGUCUUAAGUUAGUAAAAGUCUCUGACUUUUCACCUCUUCCUUCUCGUAACAAAACAUAGAUGUCCCAAGCACUCAAAAUUUAGGGAAAAAGGGCAUGCACUAAGCAAUGACUUGAGAGUUUUGGCUCUAUUGUGAAACUUUUUUUUUUUUUUUAAAUAACAAAUCAAUUUCAACUUUCCCUGGAGUCACUAAUGAGAAGCCUGCAGUGAGAGACCCCGGCUGAAAGAUGCUGAUUUACGUGAGGAAGACAGAACUAAGUGAUUUUCAUAUCUUAUCUGUGGAAAUAUUCCAAGCGUUUUCAUAUGGAGUUUAUAAAAUUUGGGAAAUGUGACCCAAAAUUGAAUUCAACGUUGCUUGCUUCCUUAAAUAUUUUCUCCUACCUUGAUUUAGCUUCUGUUAUGAAUAACUGAAAGCCAUAUGUGCUAUAAUCUUCCCUAAUUCCUGUGGAUCCUACUCUUUAAAACUUAAAAACCGACUUCUCUGCAUCACCACUACCACUUCUUUACUUCAGAAAUUUCCCUUUCUUUCAUAUGUUAUUGAGUAAUAUUAAAAAUGGUAUUUCACUACAGUUAGAACAUUCUAGAAAAUCACUGUCCUACCACAUAGUACUCUAUAGAGGCCAGCAAAGAGGGAGCAGUGUAACAGGAGAAACUCUCUUGUAAAAAUUGAUCCUCGGGGCUGGAUGCGGUGGCUCACACCUGUAAUACCAGCACUUUGGGAGGCCGAGGCGGGCGGAUCACCUGAGGUCAGAAGUUUGAGACCAGCCUGGCCAACAUGGUGAAACCCCGUCUCUAUUAAAAAUACAAAAAUUAGCUGGGCAUGAUGGCAUGUGCCUGUAAUCUCAGCUACUUGUGAGGCUGAGACAGGAGAAUCGCUUGAACCUGUGAGGUGGAAGUUGCAGUGAGCCAAGAUUGUGCCACUACACUCCAGCCUGGG
rnacentral:lncRNA from 1 species